AUGGGGGAAACCCCGACGAGGGAAAGCCAAGUGCCAGCACAAUGUGCUGGCUGUUUUCCUGUCUAAAAAACAGGGAGAGUAAGGGCUGGGUAAGACGGGUGCCAGCCGCCGCGGUAAUACCUGCAGCCCAAGUGGUGCUCGUUAUUAUUGGGUCUAAAACGUCCGUAGUCGGCUGAGUAGAUGCCCGGGUAAAUCGCAGCGCUUAACGUUGCGAAUUCCGGGUAGACCGCUCGGCUAGGGAGUGGGAGAGGUGCGAGGUACUCUGAGGGUAGGGGUAAAAUCCUGUAAUCCUUGGGGGACCACCAGUGGCGAAGGCGUCGCACUAGAACACGUCCGACGAUCAGGGACGAAGCCCUGGGGCGCAAACGGGAUUAGAUACCCCGGUAGUCC
rnacentral:rRNA from 1 species